rnacentral:rRNA from 1 species
UACGUAGGCAGCGAGCGUUGUUCGGAAUUACUGGGCGUAAAGCGCGCGUAGGCGGCUUUGUAAGUUAGAGGUGAAAGCCCGGAGCUCAACUCCGGAACUGCCUUUAAAACUGCAUCGCUUGAAUCCAGGAGAGGUGAGUGGAAUUCCGAGUGUAGAGGUGAAAUUCGUAGAUAUUCGGAAGAACACCAGUGGCGAAGGCGGCUCACUGGACUGGUAUUGACGCUGAGGUGCGAAAGCGUGGGGAGCAAACAGG